GCAAACUUGGUCAUUUAGAGGAAGUAAAAGUCGUAACAAGGUCUCCGUUGGUGAACCAGCGGAGGGAUCAUUGCUGAGUUACCGCUCUAUAACCCUUUGUGAACAUACCUUAACUGUUGCUUCGGCGGGUAGGAGUCCCCUAGAAAGGACGCCUCCCGGCCCUCCCGUCCGCGGGUGGGGCGCCCGCCGGAGGAUAACCAAACUCUGAUUUAACGACGUUUCUUCUGAGUGACACAAGUAAUAAUCAAAACUUUUAACAACGGAUCUCUUGGCUCUCGCAUCGAUGAAGAACGCAGC
rnacentral:misc_RNA from 1 species